GGCGAUCAGAUACCGCCCUAGUUCUGACCGUAAACGAUGCCAACUAGCGAUCCGCCAGUCGACUCAUCGCUCUGGUGGGGAGCUUCCCGGAAACGAAAGUCUUCCGGUUCCGGGGGAAGUAUGGUUGCAAAGCUGAAACUUAAAGGAAUUGACGGAAGGGCACCACCAGGAGUGGAGCCUGCGGCUUAAUUUGACUCAACACGGGGAGACUCACCCGGCCCGGACACCGUAAGGAUUGACAGAUUGAUAGCUUUUUCAUGAUUCGGUGGAUGGUGGUGCAUGGCCGUUCUUAGUUCGUGGAGCGAUUUGUCUGGUUUAUUCCGAUAACGAGCGAGACUCUGGCCUACUAAAUAGUUGACGCAUUGCCACUGUGCGCACAACUUCUUAGAGGGAUUUUCGGUGUUUUCAACCGCACGAAAUUGAGCAAUAACAGGUCUGUGAUGCCCUUAGAUGUCCGGGGCUGCACGCGCGCUACACUGGCAAACGCAACGUGCCUGUCCUGCCCCGAAAGGAGCGGGUAAACCCCUGAAAUUUUGCCGUGAUUGGGAUCGGACAUUGCAACUAUUGUCCGUGAACGAGGAAUUCCUUGUAGGGGCGAGUCAUCAACUCGUCCCGAAUACGUCCCUGCCCUUUGUA
rnacentral:rRNA from 1 species